UUAGUAGAAGUUCUAGCUAAGUAUGAUCAUACUGAGUAUUUCUAUAUUGGAACGAAUUCGGAAUGUGUUAGCUCGAACAUUAUUUUCUCGUUCGAAAUGGCAUUUGGUGGAGCUGGGUAUGCUUUGAGUUACCCUCUGGUAGAAGCUUUGUCAACGAAGGUCGGUGGAUGUGUUCAGCAAUAUCCAAAUUAUUCCAGUGAUUUUAUUUUGCAGGCAUGUUUAGCUGAUUUUGGAGUUUCUCUAACACAUCGGAGAGGGUUUCUCCAGAUUGAUCUACAUGGUGACAUCUCAGGCCUUCUAUCUGCUCACCCUCAGUCUCCGAUCCUCUUUCUUCACCUCCAUGAACCGCUCUGCGUCCAUAAACCAUGUGCUACCGAAGGAAAAGCAACUGGUCUUUUUCUACUUCGUGGGGCUAUGCCACUCAUAUAUACGGAAAUAUAUACCCUCAAAGCGUUUUGCUGAGACCCAGAGAGACAUUUAGACCAUGGUCGAAGAUUUUCUAAGCCCCCAUUCUUUAUGCUCAACACUCGAAGUCUCACUAAUGAUCCAUGCGAAACUCCUCAUGAAUUUUUCUUGGAGUCUGUUGAGAAAACCAGGGGGAAUCAAGUUGUUACAACCUAUGUCCGAUCAUCGCCACGUAAUGUGCCGCCCUGUUCGUCAAAUGACAAUCAUUCUGCAGAUCAUAUGUCCAAAAUUGAAGUCUUUUCUUCUUCAACAACAAUCAAACAGGCUGGACUGAUGGAAUGCUGCGAUGUUGAGGAGACAGCAGACAUGAACAUUGCCCAUAUCAAGUCAAGGGCUUGUAUGAAAAACGCAAUUAUUGCCUAGAUAAGUUAUCAAAACAUAAAUGGAACGGAAUCUCGAUUGUAUAUUCAUUUUUUUUUCUUUUUCUUUUUUUAUAUUUAUAUUUUGUUGAUUGGUACAAGGCUUACACCACACAUGAUGCUGCUCGGUGCAAUGCAGUAGCUUAGCUUCAACCUUGUGGUGGAGGUCAGUAAUUACGAUUCUAGGCCGUCUUUCAGUGGAAUUUCAUCAACCAAUAGAAAAUCUAACAGAAUUACCUCUCAAUUUGCAAUUAUCUGAUCACAUAAAAGCAUGAUUAUUAUGAUUACUCUCAUGCGAUUUGUGAAUCGAGCAGGUUCGAUAUUUGUUCAGUUCUGUUUAACUCGUGUCAAGAAUUGCGGGCUCUUUCAAUUUCGAUUUCCCUGGAAACAGCCAAAAAAAUAUUCACAUAAAAAAUGUCUAUUCUUCUUGCACUCAUUUGGCACUUCCAACAGUUCAAAUUUUACCAGUGAUUGUGUCCAAAUCCGGACAACAACAACGCGAGAGGAAAAAAAUAGAUUUCAGUAUCAUAGAGGGAAACUGAGACCAACUACAAAACGUCAGAGCACUAUCGACUAAUUCUGAUGUAUAUAUUUUCAGGACAUCUUGGCAGUUCAGCACCCAAAUACCUCAAUUUUCCAAUUGAUCACCUACUUCAAGCAAGUUCAACGCACCAAACCCACAUUUCUAGAACUAAUCAGUCAAUUCCUUAUGCUCCUCCUGAGCCUUUUGGAUUCCUAUCAUGCGAGCAUAGUCCACCCAC